ACACUCCUACGGGAGGCAGCAGUAGGGAAUCUUCCACAAUGGGUGCAAACCUGAUGGAGCAAUGCCGCGUGAGUGAAGAAGGUCUUCGGAUCGUAAAGCUCUGUUGUUAGAGAAGAACACGUGCUAGGUAACUACUAGCGCCUUGACGGUAUCUAACCAGAAAGUCACGGCUAACUACGUGCCAGCAGCCGCGGUAAUACGUAGGUGACAAGCGUUGUCCGGAUUUAUUGGGCGUAAAGGGAGCGCAGGCGGUCUGUUUAGUCUAAUGUGAAAGCCCACGGCUUAACCGUGGAACGGCAUUGGAAACUGACAGACUUGAAUGUAGAAGAGGAAAAUGGAAUUCCAAGUGUAGCGGUGGAAUGCGUAGAUAUUUGGAGGAACACCAGUGGCGAAGGCGAUUUUCUGGUCUAACAUUGACGCUGAGGCUCGAAAGCGUGGGGAGCGAACAGGAUUAGAAACCCUUGUAGUCCCAU
rnacentral:rRNA from 1 species